CCGUGCUAGACGGGGAGUUAGCGGUUCCUUGCACCCGCAAUCCGCUGAAGCGGGGUGGAAUUCCAGAGGAAGGGCAGCGCUUGUAGAGCAGUCCUGGACAGGCCGUGAUGAGGCUUUGGGCUUGCGCAACAGGACUCUUCGAACUGUGUCAGGUCCUGACGGAAGCAGCACUAAGGAGUACGUCCCGUGUGCCGCAAGGUUGCCGGGGCCGAGCGGCGUGUUUAGGUAACGUCUGGAAGCGUCUGUUCGACUGAUGGUGCACGG
rfam:Peptococcaceae bacterium CEB3 CEB3_contig000049, whole genome shotgun sequence.